rnacentral:rRNA from 1 species
GCUACAGGCUUAACACAUGCAAGCCGAGGGGCAGCAUGGUCUUAGCUUGCUAAGACUGAUGGCGACCGGCGCACGGGUGAGUAACACGUAUCCAACCUGCCGUCUACUCUUGGACAGCCUUCUGAAAGGAAGAUUAAUACAAGAUGGCAUCAUGAGUCCGCAUGUUCACAUGAUUAAAGGUAUUCCGGUAGACGAUGGGGAUGCGUUCCAUUAGAUAGUAGGCGGGGUAACGGCCCACCUAGUCUUCGAUGGAUAGGGGUUCUGAGAGGAAGGUCCCCCACAUUGGAACUGAGACACGGUCCAAACUCCUACGGGAGGCAGCAGUGAGGAAUAUUGGUCAAUGGGCGAGAGCCUGAACCAGCCAAGUAGCGUGAAGGAUGACUGCCCUAUGGGUUGUAAACUUCUUUUAUAAAGGAAUAAAGUCGGGUAUGGAUACCCGUUUGCAUGUACUUUAUGAAUAAGGAUCGGCUAACUCCGUGCCAGCAGCCGCGGUAAUACGGAGGAUCCGAGCGUUAUCCGGAUUUAUUGGGUUUAAAGGGAGCGUAGAUGGAUGUUUAAGUCAGUUGUGAAAGUUUGCGGCUCAACCGUAAAAUUGCAGUUGAUACUGGAUAUCUUGAGUGCAGUUGAGGCAGGCGGAAUUCGUGGUGUAGCGGUGAAAUGCUUAGAUAUCACGAAGAACUCCGAUUGCGAAGGCAGCCUGCUAAGCUGCAACUGACAUUGAGGCUCGAAAGUGUGGGUAUCAAACAGGAUUAGAUACCCUGGUAGUCCACACGGUAAACGAUGAAUACUCGCUGUUUGCGAUAUACAGCAAGCGGCCAAGCGAAAGCGUUAAGUAUUCCACCUGGGGAGUACGCCGGCAACGGUGAAACUCAAAGGAAUUGACGGGGGCCCGCACAAGCGGAGGAACAUGUGGUUUAAUUCGAUGAUACGCGAGGAACCUUACCCGGGCUUAAAUUGCAGAUGAAUUACGGUGAAAGCCGUAAGCCGCAAGGCAUCUGUGAAGGUGCUGCAUGGUUGUCGUCAGCUCGUGCCGUGAGGUGUCGGCUUAAGUGCCAUAACGAGCGCAACCCUUGUUGUCAGUUACUAACAGGUUCCGCUGAGGACUCUGACAAGACUGCCAUCGUAAGAUGUGAGGAAGGUGGGGAUGACGUCAAAUCAGCACGGCCCUUACGUCCGGGGCUACACACGUGUUACAAUGGGGGGUACAGAGGGCCGCUACCACGCGAGUGGAUGCCAAUCCCCAAAACCUCUCUCAGUUCGGACUGGAGUCUGCAACCCGACUCCACGAAGCUGGAUUCGCUAGUAAUCGCGCAUCAGCCACGGCGCGGUGAAUACGUUCCCGGGCCUUGUACACACCGCCCGUCAAGCCAUGGGAGCCGGGGGUACCUGAAGUGCGUAACCGCGAGGAGCGCCCUAGGGUAAAACUGGUGACUGGG